rnacentral:rRNA from 1 species
AUGGAAGGAAAAAACAAAAGUUGGCAGCUCCUCCUCCUCACGGCCACCACUCCCCAUAUCUAUUCUCCUGUCGUCGUCAACCUUUCCCCCUCCGAGCUAGCUUGUUCAUCGUCCAUCCCGUACAUCUUCUUCCAUCGAGGUCGAGCCUUCCACCCAUUCAUGGCGUCCACCACCAGUGGCAGCCUCCCAUCCUCUCCCUCACUCCCGGGCACCGGCUCCGAACAAGAAUUCUUCUCCGUCGACCCCCACGGCCUGUUCCUCCCUUCAUCCCCCUCCCCCGCCAGCCUGUUCGACCACGACUCCUCCUUCCAAGGCUUCUUCCCCACAUCCUCCCCCACGCGAGCAACAGCGACUCCACCUCACCCUACGGCCCCGUCAAAGCAGACCAAGAAGCGCCCCAGAGCCUCCCGCCGCCCACCCACCACCGUGCUCACCACCGACACCUCCAACUUCCGCGCCAUGGUACAGGAGUUCACCGGCUUCCCGGCGCCACCAUUUGCCGCCGGACCGUCCCCGUUCGUCCGCCCGCGGCUCCUCGGUGGCGCCUCCGCCUACGGGCCCCCCUUCCUGGUACGCCCGUGCCCUCUCAAAUACCCGCAGCAAAACCCUGCACUGCUGUCCUCCAUCGGCACCGGCACCACCACCGGCGGCGGAGCCAACUCUCUCAUGCACGCGCUCGCGCUGUUGGCGAGGAGCAACGCGAUGCCAAGUACCCCCGCUGAUGUUACGGCGAGAGGAUCAGGUGCUGCUGAUCAGUACGGCGGCCACCACGGCCACGGCAUGGGAGAUUUCAACUACAACCCGUUUGACGACUUCGAGACUGAGACUGCGGCAGCGGCAGCGGAAGGCGACAAGGCGGCGAACGGCGACCAUGCUGGCAAUGAAGCCUUCCUUUUUUUCAGGGGGAAAGGCAAGCUCAUUGGUCUUCUCUUUCCAAAAUCAUUUGUACGAGAAUCAUUUUUUAACCAUGAGAAAUCAAGUGAUCACGAGUUCAUGACUAUAUGGACUAUCAGUCUAUCACUGGAAGUACUGUUGGAGAAGUCAAAGCUGGCGGCAAGUGGAUGGUCUGCCUCCAUUUCUUCACCAGAACUCUAUAUUAUAUGUAUAUAUCAGCGAUUCAUGGCUAAACGCCAGACAGGGAAAAAUGAUCAUACCUUCACGGGUACACAUGAAAUUUCUAAUUCCGCUCGUCCGCAACACCCUUGCGUGGUGGCGAGGCAGGCCUCUUCCUCCUUCGCCCACGCAGCCUCCUCUCUAACCCCCCCGCCUGUGUGCGCCGUCUGGCAAAACCUGGUUGGUUUGGACGGCAGCGGGGCUCUCUUGCUCCCCUCGCAAGGUGGCGGCGGCAAAGGGCAUGGAUGGCCUGCAGAAGGCACCGGACUUAAUGUGGGGAAUGAUGGCGGGGCUGCGGCCGGAGGUGGGUGGUGUAGGCUAGCUCUUGUGGUUGUUCUUCGCGUGGUGGCGGUUGGCAGCGGUGGUGGUGGCUGGUGCCGAUUGGUCAUGGUGGCGUGGUCGCUUGCGGCUGGCGGCGGCGGGGCUCCCCUCUCUCAGCAGGCACGCAUGUCAUGGUGGUGCUGCCAGCCGCGAGCCCUGGUCCUGCCUUGUCGAGGAAGAGAUUUUCCCCACAUGCAGGCCAUAGUUGCUAGUUGGGUAGCUUUGGCGGCGGUGGUACCUGGAUAUGACCCCCCUUCAGUCGGUCAUGUGAUGGGAUCUAAUGGUUGGUGGGAAGGUGUUGUAGUGGGUGGCCCUGGCGCCUUUUGUGUUAUAGCUGCGGAGGGGCCCUCAGAUGGAUCUGCAGGUGUCGGCUUAGCCGCGGCGGUUCAUUGUGGUCCUUUGUGGCACGAGGAAGCAACCGAGCGAAAACUCUGCGCUCAGGCGCCGACGAUGACGAUGCCCAUGGGUGCCGCAUUCCUCUUGAGGACAUUGUCGCGGUUUCCCUUCUCAUGUCAGGGUUCCAAGUGA